GCCUACACAUGCAAGUCGAGCGGAAACGAGUUAACAGAGCCUUCGGGUGACGUUAACGGCGUCGAGCGGCGGACGGGUGAGUAAUGCUUAGGAAUUUGCCCAGUCGAGGGGGAUAACUAUUGGAAACGAUAGCUAAUACCGCAUACGCCCUUUGGGGGAAAGGAGGGGAUCUUCGGACCUUUCGCGAUUGGAUAAGCCUAAGUGAGAUUAGCUAGUUGGUGAGGUAAGAGCUCACCAAGGCGACGAUCUCUAGCUGGUCUGAGAGGAUGAUCAGCCACACUGGAACUGAGACACGGUCCAGACUCCUACGGGAGGCAGCAGUGGGGAAUAUUGCACAAUGGGUGCAAGCC
rnacentral:rRNA from 1 species